rnacentral:tRNA from 1 species
UCGUCGGAUGGACAACACGUGGGGCAGGUUUUCAACCUGCCGUUUGGAAUUGGCAGGUUACAAACCUGCCCCACGUU